AUACGGAGGGCGCGAGCGUUACUCGGAGUCACUGGGCGUAAAGCGUCCGUAGGCGGUCGGGUAAGUCGGGUGUGAAAGCCCCGGGCUCAACCUGGGAAGUGCACCCGAUACUGCGCGACUAGAGUGCGGGAGAGGAUGGCGGAAUUCCCGGUGUAGCGGUGAAAUGCGUAGAGAUCGGGAGGAACACCAGUGGCGAAGGCGGCCAUCUGGCCCGCAACUGACGCUGAGGGACGAAAGCGUGGGGAGCAAACAGGAUUAGAUACCCUAGUAGUCC
rnacentral:rRNA from 1 species